UGCUGCUCUUGGACCUCAAUCCACGUCUCUAAAACUUUGUAUCUGGCAUUUCUGUUUUAACAAACGGUAACAUCACCUUGUCCUAAGCCAAUCAGCUGCAUCUUACUCUGCAUGCAGAACAGACACUCUUCCAGCAGUGCCGCGGAGCUGCAUGUUUGCAUUGUCUUUCAGAUCUGAGGUGAAUAUGAAAUUACUCAUCUUUCUGUUUCACCCACAUGCUUCUACAGCUCUCUCAGUCCUACAGAUUCUACCUCUGAAACUUUAAGAUUCCAAAAGAAGAGCAUAUUUCUACCCACAAAGCUAAGCAGGACCCAUGUGGAUUACUGGAAGGACCCGAAAGCCUGUGCAGAAACACUACUUGCUCCAAUGUUUCUCAAACCCCAGCUAUUCUAAAGAGACCAGGGUCAAUACAAAUGAAAUAAAUGGAGGCUUAGAUAAAAUAUGUCAGAAAAUUUGCCGAAAGGUUAUUUUAAGGUGGCCUGUUAAAAACAAUAAUGGGCCAUUAAGCUGUCUUGUUAAAGGCAUUAAAGUUAUAGGCACAUUGUGUGAGUCACAUGAGCAAGAUUUUCCUCUUUAUGCAGAAAAACUGCAAUAUUGAAUUUCUGGUAAAAGCAAAAUGUUAGUGUUUCUGUGUAUGUUAUUAUAAAUAUUAUACAACAUAUAUUGUAGACACAGAAGUAAGCAAUAUAUUUAGCUUCUCCAGAAACAUGCAAGCAAAAAUAAUCUACAUAAAAAUUAAUUUUAGGAUGCAGGCUUCAAUAUGUUCUCUUUCUUUAGAAUUUUCUGUAUGUUUUUAAAUUUUGACCUUUUUUAUAGGCAGGAACAUGAAUUUCCUCAUAUAUACUACUGGUAAUAAAUUUCGGUUUUAGAAACACAUCAUUGCAUACUUUGAAUAGUAUAGAUAUUAGAGAAUUUAGAUGACAGAUGAAUGAGGAAGGGCACCUUCUGUGUACUUUACGAGUUUGUAAGAGCAAGAAGUCACCUGUUUUCUUCACUGCUGAGUGACAUUAAAACCAAGCAGGGUGUGUUACAGAAGCUUAUGUUUAAAAAGUUAAUUGUUAUUGAUUUGAAAGGAAAAUGAAUAAUAGACUAAUAAAGCUAUGUUCUGAUUAUGCAUGAUUUGGAAUAUUGUAUCUAAUACCCCCAUUGAUUUAUUUAAUUUUUCAA